rnacentral:rRNA from 1 species
UACGAGGGGUGCGAGCGUUAAUCGGAAUUACUGGGCGUAAAGCGUGCGCAGGCGGUUUUGUAAGUCAGAUGUGAAAUCCCCGGGCUCAACCUGGGAACUGCGUUUGAAACUACAAGACUAGAGUGUAGCAGAGGGGGGUGGAAUUCCACGUGUAGCAGUGAAAUGCGUAGAGAUGUGGAGGAACACCGAUGGCGAAGGCAGCCCCCUGGGUUAACACUGACGCUCAGGCACGAAAGCAUGGGGAGCAAACAGG